rnacentral:rRNA from 1 species
CCUACGGGCGGCUGCAGUAGGGAAUCUUCCACAAUGGACGAAAGUCUGAUGGAGCAACGCCGCGUGAGUGAAGAAGGGUUUCGGCUCGUAAAGCUCUGUUGGUAGUGAAGAAAGAUAGAGGUAGUAACUGGCCUUUAUUUGACGGUAAUUACUUAGAAAGUCACGGCUAACUACGUGCCAGCAGCCGCGGUAAUACGUAGGUGGCAAGCGUUGUCCGGAUUUAUUGGGCGUAAAGCGAGUGCAGGCGGUUCAAUAAGUCUGAUGUGAAAGCCUUCGGCUCAACCGGAGAAUUGCAUCAGAAACUGUUGAACUUGAGUGCAGAAGAGGAGAGUGGAACUCCAUGUGUAGCGGUGGAAUGCGUAGAUAUAUGGAAGAACACCAGUGGCGAAGGCGGCUCUCUUAUACACAUCUGACGCUGAGGCGCGAAAGCGUGGGGAGCAAACAGGAUUAGAUACCCGGGUAGUC